GCUAGUGCUUCAUCGGAGGGGUCACACCCGUUCUCAUUCCGAACACGGCAGUUAAGCCCUCUUGAGGCGAUGGUAGUCGCAAGGCGAGAGUAGCUAGGCGCUAGCA
rnacentral:rRNA from 1 species